GACGAACGCUGGCGGCGUGCUUAACACAUGCAAGUCGAACGGGAUCCCAAGGCUUUUUGUUUUUGGUGAGAGUGGCGAACGGGUGAGUAACACGUGAGUAACCUGCCCCCUUCUUUUGGAUAACCGCAUGAAAGUGUGGCUAAUACAGGAUAUUCCAGGAUGGUUGCAUGAUUGGUUUGGGAAAUGGGGUGGGGUGGGUGGGGAGGGGCUCGCGGCCUAUCAGCUUGUUGGUGGGGUGAUGGCCUAUCAAGGCGGUGACGGGUAGCCGGCCUGAGAGGGUGGGCGGUCACACUGGGACUGAGAUACGGCCCAGACUACGACGGGAGUCAUCAAUCUUCUAUUCUUCCCAAUUAUCUCAACCCUUAUCCACCUACUCCGCAUGAGGGAUGAAGGCCUUCGGGUUGUAAACCUCUUUCGCGUAAUUGAAAAACCAUUCUUUUGAUUUUUUUAAUUUACACUUAUAAACAAGUACCGGCUAACUACUUG
rnacentral:rRNA from 1 species